rnacentral:rRNA from 1 species
UACGGAGGGUGCGAGCGUUUGUCCGGAAUCAUUGGGCGUAAAGGGCGCGUAGGUGGCCCGGUCAGUUCGUGGUGAAAGCGCGGGGCUCAACCCUGCGUCGGCCAUGAAUACUGCCGCGGCUGGAGCACUGUAGAGGCAGGCGGAAUUCCGGGUGAGUGGUGGAAUGCGUAGAGAUCCGGAGGAACACCAGCGGCGAAGGCGGACAUCCUGGACUGGGUCCUGACACCU